AAAAAAAAUCCCCUGAAGAAAACAAGGCCUUUAAAAGUAGAAUUAGCCAAAGGAGAAAGAGAUAUAAAAGCUGACUGAAGAAAGCAUCAUCUGUUAAAAACUAGAAUGGGGGCAAUGAAAGCUAAUGAUUCUAUAAGACAGCAAAAAUCAGGCAAGCAAAGUAGAAAGAAUGAAAAAAUUGAAGAAAAUGUGAAAUGUGUCAGUGGAAAUCAACCUAGAAAAUAGAUCCAGAAGAGACAAGGUGCAAAUUAUUGGUGUACGUGAAGGCCAUAUCCAGAACAGCAUUUUUCAAGAGGUCAUUAAGGAAAACUACCAUAAUAUUUUAGAAAUAAAGGAGGAAAUACAGUGAAAUAGUCCAACAAUCACUUUUGGAAAGAGAUCCCACAAGGAAAACCUGAAGGGACAUUGUUAUGAAACUCCAGAACUACAAUGUCAAUGAGGAAAAUACUGCAAGCUGCCAGGCAAAAACAAUUCAAAUAUCAAGGAGCAACAGUCAGGAUUACCCAGGAUCUGUUAACAUCUACCCUAAAGGAUUGGAGGUUCUGGGAUAACAUAUUGUGGAAAGCAAAAAAACCAGGGAUUACAAUAAAAAAUUAAGUACCCAGAAAGAUUAAGCAUCAUAUUUCAGGGGAGUAAAUGAACUUCAAAGAAAUAAGAGAUUUUCAAUCAUUUCUAUUGAAAAAACCAGAAAGAAACAGAAAAUUUAAUCUACAAACACAGUACUUAAGAGAAGCAUAGAAAGAUAAACUGGGGAAAUAUAUAAAAGCUUAAAGUGUUUACGUCCCUAGAUGGGAAAAUAAUAUCUGCAAUUCUUGAGAAUUAUAUUUGUCACUGGAGCAGACAGAGGGAGGAUCACAUGGACUGAAGCCUCCUAUGAAUACAAAACCUCCCAAGACAAAAACAACAAAGAUGAUGACAAAUCACCACCAACAAAAACAUUGGAUGAUCUGCCCAUAAAAAGCUAUACCCCUGACUCUCCAGAAUUCUCCAUCUUAUUCCAGCUGUCUUCUCAUCUUUGAAGAUAUCUCUACCCCAUCCUCUAAUUGUUCUGGAGGAAAAAGUGGAAAGCAAGGAGAGACAAUGGGAGGGAAAAGGUAUUAUAGAAGCUGCAGAUGAAAAGUGUCUACCAAAGGAUAAAGAAGCACAGAGAAUGAGAGAUGAAUGUUAAAAAAGAAAAUAGGCAACAUCAAAGUUUCUAAAUUUCUCAUUUUGAAGUAAAAAGAUCAAGAGAUACUAAGGACAGAGACAACCUGGCAGGAGUAACAUCUUAUUCUUCUAUCAGACAAUCUCCAAAGGCUUUGGGAAAUUUGUCUGCCUUUUCCUAGUUCUGAUUUAGAACUGGACAGUGCCAUUUAUGAAAAGUAAAGGGGUGAUCUCUGUGUGAUUCUCAUUUUGAAAAUCUGCUUUUACAUUCAGUAAUAAUGGAUUUACAAAGAAUCUGAAAAUGGUGAAAUUCCUCAAAAACAAUUAAAUAUUUUCAUUAACCAUGGAAAACUGUAAAAUGCAGCUAAUUAAUAUGAUUUUUUGAAACUGGGUGUUAAAGAGGCCAAAAACAAGAGUUUAAUGAGCAGUGCUAAAUUGGAAAGUCAAAGAACUUAAGAGACAGGUGAUUUUCUUUUGA